rnacentral:rRNA from 1 species
UCGAGCGGCAGCGCGGGGCAACCUGGUUGGCGAGCGGCGAACGGGUGAGUAAUGCAUCGGAACAUGUCCAUGUCGUGGGGGAUAGCCCGGCGAAAGCCGGAUUAAUACCGCAUACGCCCGAGAGGGGAAAGUGGGGGACCGCAAGGCCUCACGCGAUUGGGUUGGCCGAUGUCCGAUUAGCUAGUUGGCGGGGUAAGAGCCCACCAAGGCGAUGAUCGGUAGCUGGUCUGAGAGGAUGAUCAGCCACACUGGGACUGAGACACGGCCCAGACUCCUACGGGAGGCAGCAGUGGGGAAUUUUGGACAAUGGGGGCAACCCUGAUCCAGCCAUUCCGCGUGAGUGAAGAAGGCCUUCGGGUUGUAAAGCUCUUUUGUCCGGAACGAAACGGUGCAGGUGAAUAUCCUGCGCUACUGACGGUACCGGAAGAAUAAGCACCGGCUAACUACGUGCCAGCAGCCGCGGUAAUACGUAGGGUGCGAGCGUUAAUCGGAAUUACUGGGCGUAAAGCGUGCGCAGGCGGUUUUGUAAGCCAGAUGUGAAAUCCCCGGGCUUAACCUGGGAAUGGCAUUUGGGACUGCAAGGCUGGAGUGCGGCAGAGGAGACUGGAAUUCCUGGUGUAGCAGUGAAAUGCGUAGAUAUCAGGAGGAAUACCGAUGGCGAAGGCAGGUCUCUGGGCUGACACUGACGCUCAUGCACGA